CAGUCGCCGCGGUAAUACGUAGGGUGCGAGCGUUAAUCGGGAUUACUGGGCGUAAAGCGUGCGCAGGCGGUUUUGUAAGACAGGCGUGAAAUCCCCGGGCUCAACCUGGGAAUGGCGCUUGUGACUGCAAAGCUAGAGUGCGGCAGAGGGGGAUGGAAUUCCGCGUGUAGCAGUGAAAUGCGUAGAUAUGCGGAGGAACACCGAUGGCGAAGGCAAUCCCCUGGGCCUGCACUGACGCUCAUGCACGAAAGCGUGGGGAGCAAACAGGAUUAGAUACCCCUGUAGUCCCUGUCUCUUAUAC
rnacentral:rRNA from 1 species